AUACGGAGGGUGCAAGCGUUACUCGGAAUUACUGGGCGUAAAGGACGCGUAGGCAGUUUAGAAAGUCAGAUGUGAAAGCCUAUGGCUUAACCAUAGAACUGCAUCUGAAACUCCUAGACUAGAGUGAGGGAGAGGUCAGUGGAAUUAGUGGUGUAGGGGUAAAAUCCGUAGAGAUCACUAGGAAUACUCAUAGCGAAGGCGACUGACUGGAACUUUACUGACGCUGAGGCGUGAAAGCGUGGGGAGCAAACAGGAUUAGAAACCCUAGUAGUCC
rnacentral:rRNA from 1 species